rnacentral:rRNA from 1 species
CUCCGGUGAUCCCGCCGGGACCCGACUGCUAUCAGAGUGGGACUAAGCCAUGCGAGUCGACGUAGCAAUGCGUGGCGAACGGCUCAGUAACACGUAGUCAACAUGCCCAGGGGACGUGGAUAACCUCGGGAAACUGAGGAUAAACCACGAUAGGUCACGAUUUCUGGAAUGGAUCAUGGCCUAAAUCUACAUGGCCCCUGGAUUGGACUGCGGCCGAUCAGGCUGUUGGUGAGGUAAUGGCCCACCAAACCUAUAACCGGUACGGGCUCUGAGAGGAGAAGCCCGGAGAUGGGCACUGAGACAAGGGCCCAGGCCCUAUGGGGCGCAGCAGGCGCGAAACCUCUGCAAUAGGCGAAAGCCUGACAGGGUUACUCUGAGUGAUUUCCGCUAAGGGGAUCUUUUGGCACCUCUAAAAAUGGUGCAGAAUAAGGGGUGGGCAAGUCUGGUGUCAGCCGCCGCGGUAAUACCAGCACCCCGAGUGGUCGGGACGAUUAUUGGGCCUAAAGCAUCCGUAGCCGGUUCUGCAAGUCUUCCGUUAAAUCCAGCCGCUCAACGGAUGGGCCGCGGAGGAUACUACAGGACUAGGAGGCGGGAGAGGCAAGCGGUACUCAGUGGGUAGGGGUAAAAUCCUUUGAUCCAUUGAAGACCACCAGUGGCGAAGGCGGCUUGCCAGAACGCGCUCGACGGUGAGGGAUGAAAGCUGGGGGAGCAAACCGGAUUAGAUACCCGGGUAGUCCCAGCUGUAAACGAUGCAGACUCGGUGAUGGGCUAGCCUUGUGCCAGCCCAGUGCCGCAGGGAAGCCGUUAAGUCUGCCGCCUGGGGAGUACGGUCGCAAGACUGAAACUUAAAGGAAUUGGCGGGGGAGCA